rnacentral:rRNA from 1 species
AUCUUCUUCGGAAUUGACGUUUUGUAGACUGAGUGGCGGACGGGUGAGUAACGCGUGGGUAACCUACCCUGUACAGGGGGAUAACAGUCAGAAAUGACUGCUAAUACCGCAUAAGCGCACGAGGAGACAUCUCCUUGUGUGAAAAACUCCGGUGGUACAGGAUGGGCCCGCGUCUGAUUAGCUGGUUGGCAGGGUAACGGCCUACCAAGGCAACGAUCAGUAGCCGGUCUGAGAGGAUGAACGGCCGCAUUGGAACUGAGACACGGCCCAGACUCC